UCCACUGAGCCACACCAACCAGGGCCAAAUACUUUUUAAUGAGGCAGACAAUGACCAGCAAAUUGUUUUGUCCUGCAAAGAAGUUCACUUGUUAUCUCAUUGAAGUACUUGAAGUAGUUGUUGAAAUCAAAGGCAGUUCUUCAUAGAUACUGCCUUCCUGUUUGUAAGGUGGUGGAUACCUCAGAACAGUAACCAAGAUGAAAGAAAGGAGCUAACAUGGACCUGAAGCCACCACCUAGGAACAGGUGGACAAACAGAAUAUGUGACAUAAGAAUAGAAUUUUUAAAAAAGCCAAUCUGAAUUCCCUCAAAGAAGAGCCUCAUCUGUGACUGUUCUUCACAUGCUGUCAGGAACUCAAAUUUCAGGUGGUUUCCCUGCAAGUUUCAGUCUAUCCUUGAUAACUCAGAUUCCAAGUUGAGUCUUUCUUCCUUGAUCACUCUCCCUGCCUUGUCUCUGAUUAUCCUACUUUGUGUGUUAAUUUCUACACUUGGACUUUUCCCCCUGCAAUGGCUGCCAUCCACAUGUCUUUGAACAUUGGCCUCUCUAGCUCCCUAUCACACACUGCCAAAUCAAUCUAUCAGCUCAUUAACUUGUUCAUAUUUAGUGGUCUCUUCUCUUCUGUUGUGAUUUUUUUUUUGCAACCUUGAUGAUGUCUUGAGAAAACUAACAUCUUUCAAACAGCUUAUCAAUUAUGAAUCUUACUCUUAAAUCUCUAUGAAAAUAUCAACUAAUUAGCAUUCUCUAUCUCUAAAAGACAUCUUUGAGCUUUGAAAAUGUUUGUCAGUUACUCUUGUGAUGUGCCUGUCCUUUUCCUUUGGACAUAGGGCCAAGUGUCGAACUCUCUUUCGACAGUUACACCUUCAGCUCUUCAUUUUGAAAACAAUCAUGCUUGUGGGUUUCUAUUUAAGACCUUCACCGAACUUAUAGUGUAGCCUAUACUUGUGGUUCCGAACUUCCAUAUUCUGACCAGUUCUAUCAAGGCCAAUGUGAUAAACAGAUACUAAUUUACAUUUUAGGUUAAAUUAUUAUUAAAUAGCCCAAACUAUGACAGUACAUAGCCACAUUUUAAAGAUAAUCUAUCAGUAAAGGGAAAGGUGUGGAAAGAAAAUUCUAUAUUACAAAAAAGCAGAAGAACACAUAUUGAAUUGAUAAAAACAUAAAACAUAAAAUUUCUUUCAUCAGGGCAAGGAUAACGAAGAACCUAACAUAUUCUUUAUUACCAUUUAUCUUCCUGAUAUAAAUAAUAAGAAUAUAGUAAAUCAAGGCAAAUUUUGAAAAAUACAGAAGCAAUGGUAAAAUGGUUGAUGGUAAAAAAAGACAGUGGAUUUGAAAAACAUUUUAAGUUCAGAAAGAGUAACAAAAAAAGAAGAGUAAAUUACAAGUAAUUUAUUGAUUGAUUGAUUUUUAAUCAUGAGUUUAAGAUGAAAAUUCCCAGCAGAGAGAAAAAGUAGCAGUAAAUUGGAAUGACUAAGAUGCCACUGUCUUUAUCAUUAACACUUUAAAAAUCAUUUCAUUGUGGAUUUUUGUUAUUUUUAACUUAUGUCUGACUUCACAAUCGAUUGCAGGGGUCAACAAACUAUAACCACAGCCCCACAAGCUAAGAAUGCUUUUCACCUUUUUAAAUAGUUGAAAAAAUCAAAAGAAGAAUAAUAUUUCAUGACACAUAAAAAUCAUAUGAAAUUCAAAAUUCAGUGUCCGUAAAAGUUCUUCUGGAGCAGAGCCACACUGUUCAUUUCAGUGUCGUCUACAGCUGCUUGCGUGCUACCCCGGCAGAGCUGAGUCGUUGCAAGUGAGCAUUCGGCAGGGCAGGACAACCUGAGAUGCUUCAUGUCUGGCCCUUUACAGAAAACGUUUGCCACCUCUGAUUCUGUGACUGAAAUAAGUUUCAUCUAUUUGAAAAAGGCCUUUGAACCAACACAUUUUGUAAAUAUUCAUUCCAAAAGUAAUAUGAAAGAGAAGAAAAUGACCCAUUUUCUAUACAGAUUUUCAUGUUGCUUAAUUCAUAGUCUAGACAAAAACAGUGAUUUUCAUGGCUUAUGUGACCGUUGAGCAAUAUAGAAAACAUCUAAAAUAUUUCACUGCUUGUUUAUUGGUUCCUCUAUACUUCUCUGGAUAGUUCCCUUUAAGGACAGCAUGAAGUUGGUUUGGACAUGCAAUGGAAAAUAAUAAUCGUCAAAAAUCCUAAAAAGGAACAGAGAAAUGUGACAAAUGAAUAAAAGAGUCUACAUAAAAUGACUGUCACUUUUAUAGCACAUAAGAAUGUCCGCUCACCAGUAAAUAGGACCCUUAGUAAUGACACGUAUUUUUGGAACAAGUUUUCCUUCUAUAUUGACCUUCACUCCACUGUGUAAGGUAAGGCCACUGGAACAGUUCCUUCAGUAAAAUUAUUGUAUUUACAUAAAUCAUCAAUGUACUCUGUAACUUCACUUAACCUUUUAAAAAUGCAAAAGUUUUUGGUUUUGUUUACAUAUUUAUAAAACUCAGAAAUUAAGAUAAUUGCACAGUGUGUACAUCACAGGUAAACACAUGUAUAUUAAGUUAACCCAAGGCAGGCCAUGUCUGUAUUAACCAAGAGGCUUUAUUAACAUUGAGGAAGAGCAUUGUUCCCUAAACUGAAUUUGGGACACUAAUAAAAUAAAGUAAUAAAAUUAUAUAAGAAUUAAGAAGAGGUUUAAAAACUAGUAUUCUGAGAAAGAGCUAUAUGUUCUAUCAUUUAUGUGUUUAAGGUAUUUAUUUUGUUUAGACUCUAUUGUUAUUGAGCCUGCAUCUAUCACGGGCGGUGGUGUAGCUAAGCACAUGGGCUGUGGGUGGGAAAGACCCAAGUUAAAACCUUAGUUCCAUCUCUAUCUGACAGGGUGUCCUUAGGCAAUGUUACUCUUCUUUUUUUAUAUUUUUCACUUUUUCGCACCUCAGUUUCUGCCUCUCUCCAGAAAAUAGAUGCAAUAACAUGCUCAUGUCGUGAAGUUAACUAACAUUAAUACUAUUUGUUAUGACCAUUUUAUGCCAGAAUUUUAACACAGUGUGAACAAUAUCAAUAAUACUGGUCUUUUCAGUUGUGAUUUCCUUUCUUUUUCUUUUUUUUUUUUUCGUAAUCUUGGUCACUAUGAGAUAACUAAAAUGUUUUAUACAACACUCUGUCACUUAUGAGAACUACCCACCAUAUGUCUGCAUUAAAUCUUCAACUAACCAGUAA